GACGAACGCUGGCGGCGUGCUUAACACAUGCAAGUCGAACGGAAAGGCCCUGCUUUUGUGGGGUGCUCGAUUGGCGAACGGGUGAGUAACACGUGAGUAACCUGCCCUUGACUUUGGGAUAACUUCAGGAAACUGGGGCUAAUACCGGAUAGGAGCUCCUGCUGCAUGGUGGGGGUUGGAAAGUUUCGGCGGUUGGGGAUGGACUCGCGGCUUAUCCGCUUGUUGGUCGGGUAGUGGCUUACCAAGCCUUUGACGGGUAGCCGGCCUGGGAGGGUGACCGGCGACAUUGGGACUGAGAGACGGCGCAGACGCCAACGGGAGGCAGCAGGGGGGAAUAUUGCGGAAUGGGGGGAAGCCUGAUGCAGCAGCGCCGCGAGCGGGAUGACGGCCUUCGGGUUGUAAACCGCUUUCGCCGGUGACGAAGAGUGAGUGACGGUAAUGGGUAAAGAAGCACCGGCUAACUACGUG
rnacentral:rRNA from 1 species